GUUGACUUUUUUUCUCAGUUAAUCAACCGAUCUCGUCUGAUCUCGGAAGCUAAGCAGGGUCGGGCCUGGUUAGUACUUGGAUGGGAGACCGCCUGGGAAUACCACGUGCUGUAAGCU
rnacentral:rRNA from 1 species